rnacentral:rRNA from 1 species
GAUGAACGCUAGCGGCAGGCCUAACACAUGCAAGUCGAGGGAGAGGUUAUCUUCGGGUAACCAAAACCGGCGCACGGGUGCGUAACGCGUAUACAAUCUGCCUUUCACCUAGGGAUAGCCCGAAGAAAUUUGGAUUAAUACCUAAUGGUAUAUAGGAGCGGCAUCGUUUUUAUAUUAAAGCUACGGUGGUGAAAGAUGAGUAUGCGUUCUAUUAGCUAGUUGGAGAGGUAACGGCUCCCCAAGGCGACGAUAGAUAGGGGUUCUGAGAGGGAUGUCCCCCACACUGGUACUGAGAUACGGACCAGACUCCUACGGGAGGCAGCAGUGAGGAAUAUUGGACAAUGGUCGGAAGACUGAUCCAGCCAUGCCGCGUGCAGGAUGAAGGUCCUAUGGAUUGUAAACUGCUUUUGUAAGGGAAGAAUAAGGAGUACGUGUACUUUGAUGACGGUACCUUACGAAUAAGCAUCGGCUAACUCCGUGCCAGCAGCCGCGGUAAUACGGAGGAUGCGAGCGUUAUCCGGAAUCAUUGGGUUUAAAGGGUCCGUAGGCGGGCUGAUAAGUCAGAGGUGAAAGCGCUUAGCUCAACUAAGCAACUGCCUUUGAAACUGUCAGUCUUGAAUGAUUGUGAAGUAGUUGGAAUGUGUAGUGUAGCGGUGAAAUGCUUAGAUAUUACACAGAACACCGAUAGCGAAGGCAUAUUACUAACAAUUUAUUGACGCUGAUGGACGAAAGCGUGGGGAGCGAACAGG